UGUACACUUUGCAUAAAUAGAGUUUUGUGCUUAUGUAGGUUGUGUUUUGUGUUGUUUUGUCUGUACAUUGUUCCUUGAAAGACGUGUGUCUUCAACAACCUGCGUGUCCUCUUUACUCAAUACAUGUUAUUCUUAUCCCAAACCUCACCCAUCUCCUGCGAUAAUCCUUAUCAAAACCCUAAAUAAUGUGUGUUAGGCAAGAAGUCAGAGAAGCAUGGUGAAUCAAAACUAGAAUUCAAGCACUUCGGUCAUCGAUCUCGACAGCUCCGACAACGAUUCAUCCACUUCCGCCGACCGAUUCACCGAGAAGAGGAAGAAAUCUGGAAAUGACAUCGUUUUACCGCCCAAUUUGUUUAUUGCAUGCUCCAAUUUGAGUUACUGGUGUUUCAUUUGUUUGUGGCAUGUUAUCGGAGGUUGUUGCUAUGUCGUUUCAUCAGACGCGUACGAUCGGAAACGAAAAGAGCAUAACACAUUUGUUCAAUUUGGUACGAUUGGAAUUUAUACAUCAUAAACAUUUGUUCAAUUUUGUCUUUAAUCUUUAAUUGUGGCAUUUGAUGGGAGAUUCUUGCCGUGCCGUUUGAUAGGACACGUAUGAUCAGAAUUUGUAGACCAUCAAUACUAUAGAAGGGUUUCACCCAAUAUGUUGUUUUUGCUUUUGCUGUUUUUUUUCCUUGAAGUCGUAAUAGAUAUAGGGUUUCACCCCAAUUACUGCUUUGGUUGUCUUUUUUUUUUUCUUCAAAUAGUUCCAGUGAAUGUUAUGUCAAAUUUGAUAGUUAAAACUCAAUUUGUUUUUAUUAUUUUUGUCUAUCAAGUAGAUAGUGGUGAAGUGGUUAGGGAAAAACUUGGUGUUCCUUGUGACACAGGUCCGACUCCCACUCUCCCCAUUAUUUUCUUUAGCAUCCAGGUGAAGGGCGAAUACGGGUGGCACCGGUUCGUCUUGGACGGGAGGCGAGGUUUUACCGAUUAUUCCAUUGUCGUGUCUUUGGACGGGUGGAGGUCGGGUUUCCGUGCAUCUGGGAGAGCCAAGGGGCUGGCGGCGGUCGAGUAGUCGACCUUGGUUGACACGUCGUUCCUUGCUGUUCAAUAAAAAAAGAUUUUAAUAUCAGCAGCAGUGGACCCCACAGGUGCAGCCACAACCAAUGAUGCAGCCUGUGUCUAGACCACCAUCUCCACAACUCCAACAACUUCUCUAACAAUAAGGGGAGAAGCCUAGGCAUUUCAGGGAAGAUAAAUUAUCUACUUUUUAAUGAUUAUUGCCUUCCAGCCGCUUGGUAUGCAUCCAUGGCAGGUAUGUUCUCAUAUCCCGUACCUUGGCUUGGCAUUCGAGUUGGUUUGGUCUCUGACAUAGGCCCCCUUGGUGUAGAACCAAGCCUUUUGGAUGCAACAUUAGUCGUGUUGUCGCAACCCCUCAUGUUCUCAUUCUUCGCGUUAAGUCUCAUGGUGAGUGUUUUUUUUCCAAACAAGUCGCGUGAUAUAUUCUAUUUUCCCAUUCUUCGGCUUAGGAGCCAUUUGAGGAGAUGGGUUUCAAGUUGGGGAGAGGUGAUUGAAAAGAAGGAUGGUUAGUUUACUUAUGUUAUGUAAAUGCACUUUCGUGAAUAAUAAUAGUAUUAUCUGUUGUUGAUUUAAUUAGGUGUAAUUUGCUAUCUGAAAUGCUUCCUAUUUAGUUGUGAAUGAGGUAAUUUGCUUCAAAUUAUGUUAACAGGUAUACAUACGUGGGUGUGAGUUUAUUCGCACACCGUCUUUGUUCUUAUUCAACUUCAUUUUCCUUAACUUUAAUUUGUCAUGUAAAGUGGUAAACAAGAGCAAAGUUUUUUAGAAUUAUUUUUAGAUAUAAUCUGCUAUGUCGUAUGAAUUAUGUGAAUGAUUAUUAGUUUCAUAUAUUUUUAAUGUGUAUUGAUGUUUGAGCUUAUCUUAUUAUUAACCCAUGUUGCUUUUUGAAAUGUGCAAAUCCCUCUUUAUCAGUAACACACAUGAAUCAUGAAUCAUUUUACAAAUCUUCCCAAACUGUUGCUCUGUUUACCUAAUUCAAGGUGCUCACAAGUGAUAGGAUCUUUAGUGGAUCGUGUUUGAACCGACACAGAGCGAAGAAUAUAGAUCAUCACCAAAAAUCAACAUUGUGUGAUGUAAUGUUGCUUUCCUUAUGAAACAUGUCUAUAUGUUUGUGUAAUUCAACUUGAUUGAUGGUUUUGAAGUUUAGAAAUGUCAUAGGUUUUACAUGGUUAGUGUUUAAUACUAUUUAACAUUACCCAC